GAUGAACGCUGGCGGCGUGCUUAACACAUGCAAGUCGAACGGAAAGGCCAGUGUUUGCACUGGUACUCGAGUGGCGAACGGGUGAGUAACACGUGGGCGAUCUGCCCUGCACUUCGGGCUAAGCCUGGGAAACUGGGUCUAAUACCGGAUAGGCCCAUGCUUUGGAUGCCGUUGUGGCAAGUUUGUUCGGUGUGGGAUGAGCUCGCGGCCUAUCAGCUUGUUGGUGGGGUAAUGGCCUAACAAGGCGUCGACGGGUAGCCGGCCGGGGAGGGUGUACGGCCACAAUGAGACUGAGACUGGGACCAGGCUCCUACGGGUGGCAGCAGUGGGGGAUGGGGCACAUGGGGCACAGGCGUGAUGCAGCGGCGGCGCGUGGGGGAGAGCGAUGUACGGGUUGGGGACGUCUUUCGCUAUGGACGAGGCGUAUGUGGAAGGGAACCGGCGGAAAAGGCACGGCUUACCUACGU
rnacentral:rRNA from 1 species